CGCCCGGGAAUUACGAGUAAACUUAAAACCCAAAGGACUUGACGGUGUCCCAUUCCCCCUAGAGGAGCCUGUUCUAUAAUCGAUAACCCCCGCUCUACCUCACCACUUUUUGCUUAUUCAGCCUGUAUACCUCCGUCGUAAGCUUGCCCUGUGAACGUCUAUCGAGCAAGCCCAAGGGCCUUACNCACCAACACGUCAGGUCAAGGUGCAGUCCAUGAAGUGGGAAGCAAUGGGCUACAAUUUCUAAGCUAAAACAAACAAAAUACUGCAUGAAACACAGUUAUGAAGGUGGAUUUAGUAGU
rnacentral:rRNA from 1 species